rnacentral:rRNA from 1 species
UACGGGGGGGGGUAAGCGUUGUUCGGAAUUACUGGGCGUAAAGGGCUCGUAGGCGGCCAACUAAGUCAUACGUGAAAUCCCUCAGCUUAACUGGGGGAACUGCGUGUGAUACUGGAUGGCUUGGAUUUGGGAGAGGGAUGCGGAAUUCCAGGUGUAGCGGUGAAAUGCGUAGAUAUCUGGAGGAACACCGGUGGCGAAGGCGGCAUCCUGGACCAAUAUUGACGCUGAGGAGCGAAAGCCAGGGGAGCAAACGGG